UGGAAAUUAUAUUUCUAGUGAUUGGAAUGAUGGGAAUCCAAACCCCUUUCAGAGUAACAAUUGGAGGGCAAGUCUGGUGCCAGCAGCCGCGGUAAUUCCAGCUCCAAUAGCGUAUAUUAAAGUUGUUGCAGUUAAAAAGCUCGUAGUUGGAUAUCUGCUGGAAGCAGCCAGUCCGCCCUUUGUGGGUGUGCACUUGGUGAAUUCUGGCAUCCUCCUGAUUGGUGUCAUCAUCACUUCAUUGUGUUGGUGGCAGCUGUCAGGACCGUUACUUUGAGAAAAUUAGAGUGUUUCAAGCAGGCUUGUUGCCUUGAAUACUGCAGCAUGGAAUAACAAGAUAGGAUUUCGGUUCUAUUUUGUUGGUUUCUAGGACUGAAGUAAUGAUUAAUAGGGACAGUUGGGGGCAUUCGUAUUUAACUGUCAGAGGUGAAAUUCUUAGAUUUGUUAAAGACGAACUACUGCGAAAGCAUUUGCCAAAGAUGUUUUCAUUAAUCAAGAAC
rnacentral:rRNA from 1 species